GUGUUUGUAGGAACAUGCAUGGGACGACAUUAAACAUGGUGUGCUGAUGGUUUAGCUCUCCAAGCACCCCUUCGUGGACAUCAAAGGCCAAAAUAGCUGAUGUUUACUUCUCCAAAGCAGCAUUUUAAAGCUUUCACAUUUGCUGGAAAUCCCAUUCACACUUGAGGCCAUUCGAUUAUGUGUGUUCACACAUAUAGGACUACUCAACUUCGGUUUUCACACUAGGAGGACCUUGAAAUGCCCUAAGCUGCACAUUAAAGUCAAGACCAUUUAGCUCCACAAAGCAACCCAUUUAAGAGAGCAUUUAGUCCUCUUGGCCGAACAUAGACAAGGCUAUUUAGCUCUCCACUAAGUCACUUAAUG
rnacentral:lncRNA from 1 species